AGUAGGCCACCAGCAAGGAAUGCCUAGAGCCCAGUGUUUACAAAAUGUCUCCGGCCUGGCACUCGUAGUACAUGGAAAACAUCAGCUAUCCAGGAGGUUAGAAUGAGCCCUUUUUUUGUUUUGUUUUGUUUUGUUUUUCAGAAGGGCCAAGGUGAUGGUUACAGACACGGCAGGUGUAUAGCAAGAAUAUGGAUCCAGACCUACCAACUCCAAAGCUGGCAACGUCAUCAAUCCCGCUCCACCGGCAGUAGACAGCUCUGAGGCUGCCUGUCUGUCACCUACAACCCUCGCUGGAUUUGGAAGCAUGGUGUGUUCGUUAGCUUUCCCAUUGCUGUGAUCAAACAACUGAGAGAAGACACAGAAGAAGGGAGCAGCUCGUUUCGGUUCAUGGUGUAAGAAAGGACACAGUUCAUCUUGGCAGGGAAGGAACGGCCGUAGAGAGGUGUGACAACGGCUGAUCACAUCGUGUCCUCAGACAGAAGUUGCUGUGGGCUUGAGUUCUCUGCUGUCCACCCCACUCCUUUUUUUAUUCAGAAUGGCACCCCGACUUACAGGACGACAAUACCACCCACCUUCAAACCCUGUCUUCCUUCCUCGAUUAAACCUCUCUGAGAAGCCUCACAAAACAAAACCCCAGAGCUCUGUCUCCUGGGCAACUCCAAAUCCAAUCACGAUCAAAAUAAAGAUUAAUCACACAUAGCCCUGGCCUCAGACUUAUAGGGGGCUUCAAGACCCCCUAGUUAUUGGAGGCAACUCACUGUGAGAGUUCCAGACCUGCAAGGCAGCUCAGAUCCCGCCUGGUCUCCUGUGAUCCUGAGCUGGUGACUAAAAGAAGAGGAAUUAUGGGUAAAGUGUUGAGGCUGCUGGCUCCAAUGCCCUAAAAGCUCCAUACAUCAUAGCUCUUGUUCUUGUCAUUAAUAUCAAUGUGUACCUGACUCUGAAAGACCGGGGUCCUAUGAUCAGGCCCGCCUGAACUGAUUCCUCUCCUCUAAUCCUCAGCCUAGGAACAGGUUUCUUGACAGGCAAGUGGCUGAUGGCUCAAGGCAGGCAAGGGAGGAGGGGCCGAGACUCAGCGUCAAUCACAUGGGGGGGGGGGGAGCCAGACAUGCUCACCUCUCCCUCCAGCUAAGAAAGACACAGAUUCCUCUACCAGGGCUAGAAAAGACAGGUGCGUCUUAAUCACAUAAGCUACCACCCAGAACUCCAUCUGUCUGUUAGGUACAGCUCACCUCAAUAUCUGUCGAGAAGUCAGGAGCUGGGGCACGCAGGAUCACCAUAGGUCUGGGAGGCGGGGAGGACAGGUGAUGCUGAAGCACGCAGAACAAAGACGGAACCAUAGAAACUCCUGUCCUCAGGAAAACUACUUUGGCAGGGAGGCUUGUCUGGCACAUUAAAUUAGAAGAAAAAAAAUGCACACACAAUUUCAGAAAUAUUUUUGCUGCUGGACUCCCAACUGAACAUCUAAUAUUUCAGUGUGAGAAGGGGAAGUGUGGCCCGGGAGAGCUGUGGUAGGAACAGAUGGGGACCAAGGGAUUCUACAACACUGCAUCUCUCAUUGGCUGGAAGCACAACAAGUAGCCUAGGCUACCUUGCCAGGAACCCACAAGGACCUUCCUAUCUCCAGCUUUCCAAUGACGGCGUGUCAAGUGUGUGCCACCUCGACUAGACACGCUCCUUUCUGGUGAGGGUUCCUGCCCUGCCUUGGGCCUUGGGUGGGCGCUCUGAUGAAGCUAUCUCCCCAUGACAUAGGCAAACUGCUUGAGCUUCUGCGUGCUUCUCAGCAGUCCACUGAAGGAGAGCAGCCAGAGAGAUACGACACCCAUAAAGCAGGAAGAUGGGGUUCCUGAGAGCACAUCUCCCAGGGAGAAGAGGGUCCCGGAAGCAGAUCCAAGGGUGUCUGCUCUCCGGUCUGCAUUCUCUUCCCAGUGAGAGGCCAUGCAAAGUCGGGAGCCUGCACCUCACAAUGGAGCAUUCUGUGGUGAUCAG
rnacentral:sRNA from 1 species